AUGGAGAACUAUGAGCAUGUGAUAAAUAAACCCAUAUAUGGAAAGGUUAACUCUGACUGGUUAGAGGUUCAUGUUAUUUAACUUGUUAUGUAAGUGCCAUGUGCUAUAAAAUAGCAAGGGGAAGGGUCCUUGCUGGAGGGGACUGUGCCUGAUUCUUUGUACCAGGGGCUUGCCUUGUGCACAUAUUGAAUACAGCCUUGUUGAAUUGAACUGAAUCGAAUUGCAUUGAAUCACACAGCAUCAAAUCAAAGUCCCUUGAUUUUACCCAGCAUCAGACUCACUGGGAACCACCAAAUCCCAACAGUUUCUUGGCGCAACAAGCAGGGUGAGAAAUAUCUUUCAGGAUCAUGACCUACAAUCAAAUUAGAGGGAAAGAAAUCUUCGGCAGUCCAUGUGGCAAGAUGGACUCGAUGGGAAACAAGCUUGCUAAUGCCUUCGGUAUAUCUGCAACAAGCAUUGUUGCUAAACCCUGCCAUCCUCAUGCCUACCACAGAUGAGGGACACCCGCAUCAUUGUUGCCUUAAGGAAGAGCCCAUGAACCUUCCAUUGGUAAAAGAAACUGAAAUACCUGGUGCCCCUUGCCUAUACGUGGAUGGUUCUUCCUUCUAUGUGGAUGGCAAGCGAUACACAGGAUGGGGCCAUUUGUACUCAAGAUGGGCAACUGGUGGCGCAUGGCAGUUUACCUGGAGCAUCGGCCCAAGUAGCAGAACUACAGGCAUUAGUUGCAGCAUGUGAAGCUGCGGAAGGUCAUGCUAUAAACAUAUAUACUGAUUCUAGAUAUGCGUUUGGGGUUGUACAUGAUUACAUUAACCUGUGGGUAAAUCGGGGAUUCCUGACAAGUACAGGAUCCCCAAUAGUGGAGAAACUUCAUGCAGCCAUGCAGAAACCUACCAAAGUAGCAGUGAUAAAAGUGAAGGCCCAUACAAAAGGGACAGACUCUCAUAGCAAGGGGAACCAAAGGGCAGAUGAACUAGCUAAACAAGCAGCAGUGCAAGAUAAAGAGACCCAAUUGAUUGCUGCAACACAGCCUCUCAUAAAAACCCCAAACUUUUUUAAAUUACAGGACAUUCAACACGCUGCACCAGGGGCAGAGAAGUGGUUAUGGAUGGACAAUAGGGGCAAACUGUGUGAUGAUAACACCUGGAGAGGUCCAGGGAACACAUUAGCGUUACCAAAUGUGCUAAUAGGAACUAUGAUACAAGUGUAUCACAUGUUGAAACAUGAUGGAGCACGGUGGGUUAUCCACCAGAUGUUGGACACCUGGUAGCAUCCUAAGCUUAAUGCAAAUAUGCAUGAUUAUGUGAGAUGUGUAACAUGAAAAUACAACAUCAGCCAAGACCAACACAGCCCUUCAUGCAGUUACAAAUAAAUUUCAUUGGACCCCUGCCAUUGGGCAGAGGAAAAGAAUAUGUUUUGGUAAUCAUGGAUCACUUUACUAAAUGGCUAGAAGCUUUCCCAGUGGCUAAGGCCAUUGUGUCUGAUGUAGUUAAACUACUGAUGCCUUUGAUAUUCAUAGUUUAAAACUGAUGUAGAAAUUUUUGUGGUCCACUAAUUGUUUUGAGAGGUUUCUGAAACUUGAAAAAAAUUUUAGAGGUGUCAUCUUAAUAAUGCUGCAGUGGCUUUUAGUGUUUUAUUGAUGUAAUCACUUGGGAAGGAGCCACUGGAUCAGUUGUAAAUGCCAUUACUCAAAUCUAAUAAUGGGAACUGGGUUGAAAAUUUGUUAGUAGCAGGAAUGACAGUUUAUUGUGGUGCGAGUGGGGCUCAUGUCUAAUCAAGUUAGAUAUCACCUUAACUCUGCAACACAGUUGGUCAGGUCCUCACUGUUGUACUCAGCCAUCUAUUAAAAACUACUAAAAUGUAUAGGCAAGCAUUGGUCUAGGCAUGUGGAAAAAUUGUGUUAUCUUCCUGGCAUAGUAUUAUCCUGGUGUUCAACAUGAAAGUUGCAGCCCUGAUAGGAGACUCACUCAUGCCACAGGUGCCAUGUUGGGUGAGAGCUGCAGUUCUCAAAGACAGAAUAUCUUCACCUUGGAUGGUGGAAGGGGAGUGGUCCCUAUCGAUAAUAGGGGUAUGUUGAGAUGGUCAUUGCCUCCUUGGAGGGGUGUUAAUUCCUCAACGGGAGGCUCGGUCAGUGCACCCACUCCCAUUCUCAUGUCACAGACACCUGUGUAAAAUAAGGGCCGGAGAUAACUAUAUGGCUUUCCCAUGGGACCAAUGUUCCAUCCUGGAGGAUAGGUUUUGUGUAUGGGAAACCUAAAUAUUAUGAAAAGUGGUAAGGCAAUUACAGUAAUUCAGUGAAUAAAAGGGUUUGCUAUUGUGGAAACCAAAGAUUCCAUGGGGAUAGAUUUCAGUUGUGUUCUCGCAAUGGUAUUGGGACAUUAUUAUUUUUAUUGUAAAUAUUAUGUAUUAUUUCAUUCUGUUCUCAAAAUCAUAGUUAAUUGUUAAAGUUAAUUAUUGCUCCUAAUAAAUACAAGGAAGUGGUGUUAGUGGGGUCUAAGAAUUGUUCUUAGCCCCAAAACCAAAUGGGGGAGCUGAAGGGUAUGCUUGCGUUCAUUUUGGAUAAAAUGUGGUUUGCAGGGUACUUAUGCAUAGGGAAGCACGCUGUGGCUCACCAGCCUAGGAACAUUCUAGAGAAGGCCAGGGGGAAAGGGCUGAGCUCAACCUGUGGAAUGGAGAACUAUGAGCAUGUGAUAAAUAAACCCAUAUAUGGAAAGGUUAACUCUGACUGGUUAGAGGUUUAUAUUAUGUAACUUAACUUGUUAUGUAAGUGCCAUGUGCUAUAAAAUGGCAAGGGGAAGGGUCCUUGUUGGAGGGGACUCUGCCUGAUUCUUUGUACCAGGGGCUCUCCUUGUGCACAUAUUGAAUAAAGCCUUGUUGAAUUGAA